rnacentral:rRNA from 1 species
UACGUAGGGGGCAAGCGUUGUCCGGAAUCAUUGGGCGUAAAGCGCGUGUAGGCGGCCCGGUAAGUCCGCUGUGAAAGUCGGGGGCUCAACCCUCGGAUGCCGGUGGAUACUGUCGGGCUCGAGUACGGAAGAGGCGAGUGGAAUUCCUGGUGUAGCGGUGAAAUGCGCAGAUAUCAGGAGGAACACCGAUUGCGAAGGCAGCUCGCUGGGACGUGACUGACGCUGAGGCACGAAAGCGUGGGGAGCAAACAGG